UACGAAGGGGGCUAGCGUUGUUCGGAAUUACUGGGCGUAAAGUGCGCGCAGGCGGUCCUUCAAGUCAGAGGUGAAAGCCCAGAGCUCAACUCUGGAAUGGCCUUUGAGACUAGAGGACUUGGGUACGGGAGAGGUGGAGUGGAAUUCCGAGUGUAGAGGUGAAAUUCGUAGAUAUUCGGAAGAACACCAGUGGCGAAGGCGGCUCACUGGCCCGUUACCGACGCUCAGGCGCGACAGCGUGGGGAGCAAACAGG
rnacentral:rRNA from 1 species